GCUUACGGCCACCCCUCCCUGAGCACGCCCGAUCUCGUCUGAUCUCAGAAGCUAAGCAGGGUCGGUCCCGAUAGUACUUGGAUGGGAGACGCCUGGGAAUACAGGUGCUGUAAGCC
rnacentral:rRNA from 1 species